AAUCAUCUAAUAAUACAAACAAAACACAAAAGUUUGCUUGUGGUUUGACAGAACUUGCAUAAAGACCGCUGAGGUGAAAGAUAUAACUGAUUCAUCGAAUUCUUUCCUACCUUCUGUGGAAGCAGAAGAUUAAAUUUAAUUCCUACCUUAUAAGAUUUCAGUUCCCUGUUCAAAUAUCUACAUUAUAAAGAUGGUUUUGGUUCAUCAGGAAAUAUGCAUUCAAAUGAAAUAGACCUCAGAUUCUCAAAAGCGGCUGCCCAGAAUCCGAGCUGCAGCAGCCUCUCUCGGCAGCAGCAACCAGCUGCAGCUCGCAGACAGCAGCGACGGAGGCUCGUGGACGGCAAAGGCGCCCAUUCUCUCUGUUUCUCGUAGUAGAAAAUUUUAGAGAGGGAUAGAAGAGAGCGAAAGGUCUCGACUCUCGAGUUCGAGCUCCGUACUAAGGUUUUUGAAUUUAAUUGUUAAUGUUUUUAUUUUAUUUUUAGUAAAGAAGGAAAUGAGAUGGACUAUAUGGGCCAUAGAGUGGUGGGCUGAGCCCAACAAUUUGGGCCAAUUCUGACUUGCAAUUUCCAUUACGGGUGAUUUUAUUCAUAACCCCAUU
rnacentral:lncRNA from 1 species